UACACAGUGUGCGAGCGUUAAUCGGAAUUACUGGGCGUAAAGCGCACGUAGGUGGCGACGUAAGUCGGGUGUGAAAGCCCCGUGCUCAACCUGGGAAUUGCAUUCGAGACUGCAUUGCUGGAGUACGGAAGAGGCGGGCGGAAUUCCCGGUGUAGCGGUGAAAUGCGUAGAUAUCGGGAGGAACAUCAGCGGCGAAGGCGGCCCUCUGGGCCAGUACUGACACUCAAGUGCGAAAGCGUGGGGAGCAAACAGG
rnacentral:rRNA from 1 species